AAAGAUGGAGAUUAUCUCAAACUUAAAAAUCUUUCGCCUUUUACUAAAGAUUUCCGUGGAGCACUCAAAUGAGUCUUACUCCAUUUGUGAUGUACAUUGUUUGUAGGAUUUAA